rnacentral:rRNA from 1 species
UACAGAGGUCCCGAGCGUUGUUCGGAUUCAUUGGGCGUAAAGGGUGCGUAGGCGGUUUGCUAAGUUUGAUGUGAAACUCCCGGGGCCGUAACCCUGGAAUUGCAUUGAAUACUGGCGGACUAGAGUCCUGGAGAGGAAACUGGAAUUUACGGUGUAGCAGUGAAAUGCGUAGAGAUCGUAAGGAAGACCAGUGGCGAAGGCGAGUUUCUGGACAGGUACUGACGCUGAGGCACGAAGGCCAGGGGAGCAAACGGG